UGCUGUGCUCUGGCUGCGACAUCUGUCAACCCAUUGAUUACCAGGGUUGAUUUGGCUGAUCUGGCCAACUAGGCGGGUGUCCCCUCCUCCCUCACCACUCCAUGUGCGUCCUUCCCAAAGUUGCACUCAUCGGAAGAGGACGGCCUUUCCCCGAAUAUAGACGACUGGUCUUCAGUGUAGAGUAUACCAGUAGCUGCGCUCCCCUGCUAGAACCUCCAGACAAGCUCUCAAGGUCACUUUAGUAAUAUUUAGAAAAAAUCAAAUGAAAUAUUCAAGAAAACAACUACUUGGGGUAAGAAAGGAGAGGAGGUAAGU
rnacentral:snRNA from 1 species